CUAUGGCAAAUUCUAAGGUCAUUUUCUUGUUGUGUUUUGAUGUUUUCCAUUGGCUGAAGACUAAGAUGAGCCUGAAGAGGAGAUUUGGGAAGUCUUUGCUUUGCCAGAUCACCUGUGGUCGGGAUGUCUGCUAACAAGAUGCCUUGUUGGUCUGGGCGAGUUUGAAGUCUCUCACAGACAGUCCAGAAGGUCUGGAGUCCAUCUU